rnacentral:misc_RNA from 1 species
GCAAACUUGGUCAUUUAGAGGAAGUAAAAGUCGUAACAAGGUUUCCGUAGGUGAACCUGCGGAAGGAUCAUUGACAUCACACCGUGCUCAGCUCGCGGUCGGGGGGCCCUUCGGGAGGCCCUGUCUGAACCCUCUGUCAUUGUCGCACCUCGCGUUUCCUCGGCGGGUACGCCCGCCAACGAGGACCCCACACCAACCCAUUGCAGUACCUGCAGUACACGUCUCACAAACAAUCAAUCAAAACUUUCAACAACGGAUCUCUUGGUUCUGGCAUCGAUGAAGAACGCAGC